GGACGUGAGGGUGAUCUGGCAUCUGUUACCCCAUUGAUUGCCAGAGUUGCUUGGGAUAAUAUGUCUGGCCAUAGGGGUGUCCCCUUCCUCCCUCACCAUUUUAUGAGCAUCCCUCCUGAAACUAGACUUGAGAUAGUAACUGAUAAGUUGUGGCCCUGGGUUGAAGGGGAUGACCUUCCCCAAAAAGAGGCGGACCAGUCUUCAGUCUAGAAUAUACAAGUAGCCAUAUGUCUCUUCUAGAACCUCUAAAUAAGCUCUCAAGGUCCAUUUGCAGAACAUAGGGUAGUCAAGUUUCCAAGAUUCCAGACUCCUAAAUGAGGCAUUGUACAUAGCAGUCUGCCUUUCUUU
rnacentral:snRNA from 1 species